ensembl:antisense Gm17690 predicted gene, 17690
GUCUUUCGGAAGGGAAAGGCGCUCUAGGGCUGCUGCAGUAGUCGGGGCGGAACGGACGUGCUCAGCCCGUCUCGACACAGUUAACUAAAGCCCCGGAUGCUUCCAGACUGUUAGAGGCUCACACGGCUCCCCAAACGCACAUUCAAGUGCAAAACCAGGCUUUGUACGUUCUGUGACGCAGAGUUGUGUGCUAGGCUAAGUGCAGGGCCAGGACUGCCUUCUGGAGCGACCUAUUAUUUAGUGAGGUCCACGACGCUCGUGCAGACUCGCCCUCGGCCUAGACUUGAGCCUGAGGCCACGCCUGACUUGGAUCCUUUAUUUCCUUACAAUAAUUUGGGUGUUUUUCUCAGUUCACACCCUCCCCUCCACCCCCACGGCUUUGCUGAGAUCUUCAUUCAACACAAGAAAAUACCAGCAAUGUGUAGAAAUACUGUGCUUUAAUGAACUCCUUAAAUAGAAACGCUGCUAUGAAAAUAUACAGUGGGAGGAGACGGUUUCUCCCUUAUUCACCUCGUUCCCACAGAAGACUAAGAAAAGAUUUCAAAGUAGUGUAGAGAGGUUGCGAAUGAGGUCUCUAGGACAUCAUUGUUGGAACUGAUGAAAAGGGUCUCUCAUGUCACAGUUUUGACGGCCAUCCAAAAGGUACAGAAUUGCCUGGGAAAAGGGGCAAUCACAUUCUGAACUGGUCUUGUUUCUUAGUUUUCAAAUCACAAGAAAUGAAAAUAGCCCCAGAAAUCAAACAAAUCGGGAGACCUUUAGGUU